rnacentral:misc_RNA from 1 species
AAUAAAAUAAAAUAAAAUAAAAUAUUUGUCUCCAGAAGACCAUCCAAAUUCAACACCUACCCAAAUUUCCCCUUUUAUUAGUCUCUUCUUUUCCUGCGUUUGCCUGCUACAGACAUUUUAAAUGCCAAUCAACCACAUGUUUGUAGCAGGAAUCAGGAUGACUGAAUGCCUGCCUGGGCGACAAAUAAAAUAACAAAGACUUGCAAUCACACGACCUUCAAAUUCUUAAGGGAUCACAAUUUCUUUAGCGAAUCGCAGCGAAAGGGUUCCUCUUCCACUGGAGAGGUUGAUAUGUUCUCUCUUGUUUUCUUUCAUCUAGCUUGCUCCAGGGGAACUUGUGCUUAGCCAUAUGUCGCUUCUUUGCAGCCACUCCCAGGUAAUCUCCUUGGCUCUGGAGGCAGAGCCCUUCAUCAACAUCACAAAUGGGGUAAUCACUGGGGCAACAAUAUUCGGUGCCAGUGCAGCAAACAGCAUUCUCGUAAGGACAGCAACCAUAGACCAGGCAGAAAUCACAGAAUUCAAAAAUGCAACAGCAUGUCUCAUCACUUGGACAAUAAGAAAAGUCCCCACAUUCACUUGGUGAAGGAGAGGGAGGUGGAGGAGGCGGCGGCGGUGGUGAUGGUGGUGGUGGAGGUGAUGGUGGUGGAGGGGGUGAUGGUGGUGAAGGAGGACUAGUUGGAGAUGGAGCAGAGGAUUCUUUAGUUGGAUAAGAGGCCAUUGCAUUGACAGCACAAACACCAUAUGCUAGAUCAGUGUUCCUUCUUAGAUAGAAAUAACCGUCCAUACCCCAAUCUGUACCCCAUGAAUUCUUCACAAUCCAAUAAUCUUCAUCAUCUUCGGAGCCAUAACCAACGAUAAGAACAGCAUGAUCUAUGUCGUCAGGAUUAUCAGAGCAGCUACCAUCAUAGAUCCCACUUGUAUAAAGUUGAAAAUCGAUUGCAGAACCAUCCAUACCCACACUAAUAGGUUGAUAAGCAGUAGCACACAAGAGAGCACUGUCUGAUUCAGCUACGUCUUCGUACCCAUCAAUAGAUACAAUUUUUCUCUCCUCCUUGGUGGUGUUGCAGGUGCCAUCUACACCAGUGUAAGGAUAAUCAGCUUCUGUAUCAAUUCCACCAUUGUCAAUAACCCACUCAAAAGCAUAGUCCAUAUAGCCUCCAUCACAUCCAUCAUUGGUUGAAUCACAAUCUACGAGUUCUUGUUCUGAAAGGCUAAUGAGGUCUCCAGUGACCAGGGCAUUUACUCCUUCUAUUGCGCCAGUUGUAGAGAAUGACCAACAACUUCCACAGUCUCCUUGGUCCUUAACAGCAGUAACAACUCCCUUCUUCCUCCAAUCCAAGCUCGAAGGCAAAUCAUCGCAGGUCUGCAAAUUUCUCUGCCACCUACUAGUCUUCAGAUUGCUAUUUUUACUGAUGGGUUUUUUCACUUUCGACAAAUAUCGUUGCCUAAACUCCUCAUUGCUCAUAUCAGCAAACUUGUUCAAUCCAACUGUAUGCCCUGAAUGCGACUCUCUCUUUGCAUUCUUUUCGAUCACAUACUUCAAGUUCCUACGAAAAUUUUUGAACCUCUUUUCUGUCUCCUCUGCAUGCCUGUAAACCUUUCUGUACUUCUGUUUCCAUUGUUGAAAGAGCUCGAUGACACGUUCCUCUGAAAGCAGCUCAUGAAGGUCAUUACCCACUAUGGAGUACUCACUAGGGAGGCUCAAAGAGAGGCAUAUUGGUGGAGCUAAAAGCAAGAAAAAGAAAAGCAAUUGGGAUUUUUGGAAACCCAUUUCUUUCUGAAACUGGGUUACCUCUGGUCAAU